rnacentral:rRNA from 1 species
CCUACGGGAGGCUGCAGUAGGGAAUAUUGCUCAAUGGGGGAAACCCUGAAGCAGCAACGCCGCGUGGGGGAUGAAGGUUUUCGGAUUGUAAACUCCUUUUGUUAGAGAAGAUAAUGACGGUAUCUAACGAAUAAGCACCGGCUAACUCCGUGCCAGCAGCCGCGGUAAUACGGAGGGUGCAAGCGUUACUCGGAAUCACUGGGCGUAAAGAGCGCGUAGGCGGGAUAGCAAGUCAGAUGUGAAAUCCUAGGGCUUAACCAUAGAACUGCAUUUGAAACUGGUAUUCUAGAGUAUGGGAGAGGUAGGUGGAAUUCUUGGUGUAGGGGUAAAAUCCGUAGAGAUCAAGAGGAAUACUCAUUGCGAAGGCGACCUGCUAGAACAUAACUGACGCUGAUGCGCGAAAGCGUGGGGAGCAAACAGGAUUAGAUACCCCGGUAGUC